rnacentral:misc_RNA from 1 species
GAUGAAGAACGUAGCGAAAUGCGAUACUUGGUGUGAAUUGCAGAAUCCCGUGAACCAUCGAGUCUUUGAACGCAAGUUGCGCCCGAAGCCACUAGGCCGAGGGCACGCCUGCCUGGGCGUCACACGUCGUUGCCCCCCCAUCUACUCCUUCGGGAUUGCGGGGGGGCGGAUGAUGGCCUCCCGUGCGCCUAGCCGCGCGGUUGGCAUAAAUACCAAGUUCUCGGCGACGCACGCCACGACAAUCGGUGGUUGCGAAACCUCGGUUGCCCGUCGUGUGCGUUCGUCGCGCAUCGAGGGCUCGAAAAAAUGCUCGGCUUCGGCUCGGCUUUCAACGCGACCCCAGGUCAGGCGGGGUUACCCGCUGAAUUUAAGCAUAUCAAUAAGCGGAGGA